rnacentral:lncRNA from 1 species
UAGGGGAGGCCUGGCAGGACGGCCGAGGAGGAGCUUUACAUCACCGCUCCCCACCCAGGGCGGGAGCCCUCGCCGCCCAUCGUAAACUUGAGCCGGAGCAGGAGGAGCUCGCUCGCGAGCAGCCAUCCGAGGGACAGGCUCCAGCCGCCGCCAGGAGCUCUCCGGGGAGGGUCGCUGGCUCCCCACCUCGAGAGGAAGGAGGACAGCCCAGCCCACACCCGGAGGAGACGCACGCAGGCUCCUGAGACACAAAGGAAGCCCCGAGGCCACGCACGGCCCCCGCCCGGCACGCGGUGACGGCUCGUGUCCUGCCACUGCACGACUGGGACGUGGGUCCCUGCCCGCGUGUGCUCCGCGGCGGGCCCUCCCCGCCAUGAGCCUGCGGGUCACCCGGGUCACCCGAGAAGGCCCAGCUCUGGGACAAGCAGGGGACGCCCGUUAACCCCCGCGACGGCCGCCGAGCCUGGCAGACGCGGAGGAGACGAAGCCUUCUCCUCCCCGGAGCCUGCGCACAUGCCGGGCCCCCAGGGAGGCGGGAGGUGAGGAGGACGCUCGCGCCUCCGGCCCCUCGGACCACGCGUGGGCCGCGCCCGCCGCCGGCGCCAUGGGGCAGCUGCUGGCCCAAUGCUGCUGGUGCUGCUGGCUGCUGCUGCUGCUGCUCGGCCGCGGCUUGCAGGUGCGGGGAGCCCACUCCCGAUCGCAAGACCACCCAGGGUUUGAGGUCCUGGCUUCUGCCUCCCAUUACUGGCCGCUGGAGAGCGUGGACGGGAUCCGCGAGCUGCAGGACACCACCGGAGACAUCGUGGAGGGCCGGGUCAACAAAGGCAUCUACCUCAAGGAGGAGAAGGGGGUCACGCUCCUCUACUACGGCAGGUUCCAGAGCUCCUGCCUCAGCAACCCUGCGCGCUGCGGCCCCGAGGGGGUCACGUUCUCCUUCUUCUGGAAGAUGCAAGGGGAGCAGUCCAGACCGGUCCCUUCCGCGUACGGCGGGCAGGUCAUUUCCGACGGCUUCAAGGUCGGCUCCAGCGGCGGCCGGGGCUCCGUGGAGCUGUACACGCGGGACAACUCCAAGACGUGGGAGGCCACCUUCAGCCCGCCCGGUGAGUGGCGGCCUCCGCCCCUGAGCGCGGCCCCCAGGGGCGAGUGUCCGCUCUGGGCGCCGUGCGUGC